AAAAUUUUAUUUAUAUAAUUUAUUUUAUUUAUAAAAACUAGCUUUAAAUAGAUUGUUAAUCGCUAUUCAGGUAAAGGUAUCCGUUAGUAUUUUCAUUAUAUUUUUACGUACAUGAGCGUAACUAUCCAAACUAUACGGAUCUUCCCUCCAAAAUUCUGUAACAAAAUCAAGGCUACUGACAGAUGUCAAUAAAAAGAACUGGCAAACUAAUAACACUCAACGACAACAAUAACAAUUGUCUAAACAACAAUGACCACACACACACACACACACACACACACACAA